GAGAAAAGACAUGAAGCUGUUUUUGCUGAGGCAGAGAACAAUCAUUGACAAAAUAAAUCCACUGAAGGAAGAAAAGGAAAUAUUACUGCAGCAUUUUGUUGACCAUUGGAAACUCCUGUAAGGGAUUUUAUCUUGCGGUAAUCUCCGGGGAGAAAUGUACAAACAGCUGGGAGAGCAAGAAGGAACUGCAUUGUGCAGCAGGAGUUUGUGGAGCAGAAUUUCAGAGUGCUGGAGUGGAUCUCAAUACCAACAUGAAUCUUUUCUGUUUUUCUCUGGAGGGCUCCAUGGACAGUUUGUAUGAGCCUGUCCCAGAACAUCAGGAAGCCAAGGAUACAACUACUCCUGAAAGCCAGGCUGGCACUCCAGUGAGCACACAUGGCAACUGUGGGCCACCUGACAGGUCUAUGUCUUUGGUAAGUAACAUUUCAUUGCAAAGCAUGCAAUGCAUUUUGCA
rnacentral:lncRNA from 1 species